UGAUUUGGCUGAUCUGGUUGGCUAGGCAGUUGUCCCUUCCCUCCCUCACUGCUCAAUGUGCAUCCCUCCCAAAGCUGUGCACUCAGUCAAAGGACAACCAUCCCCGAUAGAAGAGAAACAGUCUUCAGUCAAGGGUACACGAGUAGCUGCACUCCCCUUCUAGAACCUCCAAACAAGUUCUCAAGGUCCAAUAUGUAUAUGUUUUAAUAUGCUAGAUAUUAUGACUGAAUUGUUACAGUAUCUUUAUUCAUGUC
rnacentral:snRNA from 2 species